rnacentral:lncRNA from 15 species
CCUAAAUAUUAGUUGUGUUCUGGGUUGAGAAUGAUGAAGGCAGUCAGAGAACAAUUAGAUAAUAAACAGGAUGAAGGUUUUAUUGGGCAGCUAUCAUGUUUUUUAGUGCCAAUAGCUGCUGUCAGUGGGGGAAAAAACAUGCUCCCAGACCCCCCCAUCUGCCCCCUGGUGCAGAAAAUCUGCAGCUAGAAGAUUACAGGAACAUGACUUACAAGAAGUGAGCUGCUCAGAUAAGAAACUCUGCUACAGUCAGGCAGACGGACAAAAACAGAGCCUGAGUUCACUUUCACACUUUAUUCAAACAGACUUUCACAACAGACUUUCUUUCUGGUUGGAGGAUCAGCAGGACGCAGAGACCUCCAUCAUGGGCAUCGCUGAUGAGUUGGUGGAGCUGAUUUACUCCUGGAUUGAGCAGAAGCAGCACUGUGCAGAGAAGCUGAGCAAGAUGUUUGAAGAGAUCGACAAAAGACGACAAGAAGAAGAGGAGAAGUCUAAAACACGACGAGAAGACGAGGAGAAGGCUAAAAAGCUUUCCAGAGAGAAAAACACUCGGCUAAUAUUGUGCUUUCUUCUUUCUCUACUUCCUCUGUAUAUUUGGUUAGGUUUCAUUUAUCAGAAAGAUGUCAUCACGAGUUUAGAUCCACCUCAGGAGAAGAAUAGAAACAAGGAGACUCAAACAGAUUAAAGAAAGGAAAAUGAACAGAAGUUAGAGCACAACCAAACGCCUCCUGGAACUAUAAGAGUGGGGUUACUUAAUGUUCGCUCAAUGAAUAACAGACGAUCCAGGAUCUUAGAGCUCAUAACUCAAAACAACCUGGACGUCUUUCUCACAACAGAGACAUGGUUAAGAGAAGACAAUGCAGACACAGUCCUCAGGGAGGCUUCACCACAGAAUUACACUUUAUUAUUAUAAAUUAUAAAUAUUAUAUAUUAUCAGGUGAGGGUUGGUCAAAGGGGUGGAGGGGUAGCGAAUCAGUUCUCACAGGAGCUGCAGGGUGAAAACAUUCCUUUUGACUCUAUAACAACCUUUGAAUGUGUUGUCACAGUUCUGCAUCAUGAUGAGUGGAACCAGCCGGUCCCCAUCAUCAAUGUGUAUCACCCACCGGGGUACAACAGGGACCAGUUCCGUACAUUUCUGGAUGAGUUUGAAACGCUCUUAGAUUAUUUCAACAACUACAACAGCAUCAUUGUGACUGGAGAUUUCAAUAUCUGGGUCGAUCAGGAAAGGAGGUCUUUCACUGAUGAGUUUUAUCAUAUUUGGCCGAUCUACAACCUUGAGCAGCAUGUGCAGGGGCCAACACACCGGGCAGGUCACACUCUGGAUCUGGUCCUCACCAGAAAUGUUGAAAUCUCUCAUCUCGUUGUCCAAAAUGAUGGAAUAUCAGAUCAUUACACCGUAUAUUUCAAUGCAAAGCCAAAAGAUAAGAGGAAGAAAACUAAGAAGAAAAAGAAUUAAGACAAGCGGUCAACAAUGGUUGAAAAAGAGGGAAGAAUAGAAAAUCAUCACAUUCAAAAGAAAAAUGUUGAAGUUGAAGAAAAUCCAACAUGAAUUCAGAAUAUGUAAUUAAUUGCCAUUUCUUUAAAUUUGUUAAAGACACUUGACUCCAUUAUCGAGAAGUGGAACGCUGUUAAAAGGAUGCAAAACAUUGUGUUUCUCCACAAUGUUGGCGUAGCGUGAAAUUCGAUCCGGUAUCCGCACAGGGUAUUUUAUUUUGAAAAUUGACCAGAUUCUCUAUGCCAUUUCUGUGUAUGACUUCCUGCCAAUGUGAUCUACUCUGUGUUGCUUUUGUCAAAAAUAGACCAGCCAUGUAUCCCCCACAAAAGAGAGCAGAGAAACACUUCUGGUGGAAUCACGAGCAUUAUCUAGAACAGGCGUGGCCAUGAUUUAUCAUGAUGAAAGAUUUAUUGAAAAAAGUCAAAUAAUUCAGGAAAAAUAAAAAUAAAGGAAUCCUGAAGUAGUUAAAGGAGUAUUAAAGUAAGUAAGUAAGUAAGUAAAGUAUAAUGAAGAAUAUCUUUAUUGUGAGACCAACGCGUAUCGGGGUUGUGGCUGAUGAAGUUGAAGAUACAAUCUUACUACAAGUGUUGCUGGAUUUAAACACAAAGUAACAUUAUGACAAAAUAAUAAUGAAUAAUGAAAAAUGUUUGUAGAUCCUUCACCUUCAGUUGGCAAGACAUUUAUCAAAAGAGUCAACGUGCCUUCACGUCAAAGCAGGUUGUGUGUUGGUGCCUGUAAGAUUAACUUUAGACAGCUAAACCCACUUAAAAGUUAUAUAAAUUGAAUUCACUUUCCAAAAGAACGGGACAGGAAUACAACAAAAUUCCCCAAAACCGUCUUUGUUAAUCUUUCCAACAAUCACCAACUCUGGUUUGGUGGAAAUAAAUCCUUAAUUCACCGACGUAGAUGAUAAAAACAGCAGUUUCAGUCGGAGCAGACCGGCUAUGGAAACAAACCACAGAGAGACUGCGAUACAACACAGACAGAGGGAGUGAGACGCCAUGUGACUCUGUGUCUGUAUAUAGAGAAUAGCUGUUUGCUCUAAAUAUAAUAUAUAUUAAGACAGUGUGGUUUUGGCCUAGAUUGUUUUGGGUGAUGUCUAGCUCUUGUUGCUAUUGAGUGUGAAUGCACUUAUAGUCACUGUGCAUGCAAGUGUGAUGGAGUCCAAGCACUCUAACAGACAGUCUGAAUCAAGCUUCUAAUCUUUACAUUUGUUUAAAGUUUAUCAGGAAAGUGUAAAUAUAUUUAGUUUAAAACGUGUUUGACCAUGAGCAGAGCUGUCAGAGUUCCAGUUACCUGACUGAGCUUGGAAACACCCUGAGUGGAAAUGAUGUUAGCUGUUUAAAUUCAUUUGGCUGCUGUUCACUAUUAUUGAAUAAUUAAACACUAAUCAAAAUGUUCUGUGAUCAUUGCUUUAUUCAGAGUCAGUUCACUAUUGAACAUGGUUAUGGUAAUAUAAUCCACACAUUUAUUCACUAAUUCAUAAAAUCACAACUUCAAUCAGCUGCUCCACUCCUCCAUCAUCCCUGAGUGUAAUCUGCUGCUCAAACACCAGAUGGCAGCAGAGAUCAGUCAGAUUCAAUCACAGACACAUGUCAUAUAAUGUGUAAUGUAAUUUCUAUAUUUGAUUAAAAGAAAACUAAAAUCUAAACCUGCAUUGUGUUUU